rnacentral:tRNA from 1 species
GCGCGAUUAGCUCAGCGGGAGAGCACUUCCCUGACACGGAAGGGGUCACUGGUUCAAUCCCAGUAU